rnacentral:lncRNA from 1 species
GCUAAUUGGUUGAACCUUUACCUUCAAAGCACCAAACCUCAACAGAUCUCCACACAUUAUUAUAGUAUCAGAAGUUUACGCCUCCGGCUCCCUUCUUCCAGCCUCAUUAAGGAAACUAGUACAAGUGCGGGCACACCUGGUAAACGGCAGCAUUGUACAUUAUUUACCCUCUUUGAGGCCAGAUUGCCAAUCCAGUCCUGUCUUUCUCCUUGUCAUCCAGCACAUUCCCCGGCUUUUGUAUUUAUUGUCAUAGCUGUAGUUUGGGAGUGGAUUAGUUGUAAGAUAUCAACACUGAGUAUCAUUAACUGAUAGGGUAAAACUACAUAGGAUUGCUCUGACUUUAGCCAGAUAUUUUAAACAUGGUUUUUUCUUUGGUAAAUGUGUUGUACACAUUUGUCCAGCUAGAUGUAGACUAGAUAGUGUACAUUAGAUCGUGUCUAUAUUAGGAAUCCUGUCGGUUAUCUCAUUUUCAUAAUUAUUUACAAAUAGGAUUUGAUACAAAUGCACUUAUAUUCAGACCU